GACGAACGCUGGCGGCGUGCUUAACACAUGCAAGUCGAACGGAAAGGCCCUGCUUUUGUGGGGUGCUCGAGUGGCGAACGGGUGAGUAACACGUGAGUAACCUGCCCUUGACUUUGGGAUAACUUCAGGAAACUGGGGCUAAUACCGGAUAGGAGCUCCUGCUGCAUGGUGGGGGUUGGAAAGUUUCGGCGGUUGGGGAUGGACUCGCGGCUUAUCAGCUUGUUGGGAGGGUAGUGGCUUACCAAGGCUAUGAAGGGUAGGCGACCUGAGAGGGGGACCGGCCACGAUGGAACUGAGACACGGGCCAGGCGCCGAAGGGAGGCAGCAGUAGGGAAGCUUCCGCAAUGGGCGAAAGACUGACGGAGCAACGCCGCGUGAGUGAUGAAGGUCUUCGGAUCGGAAAACCAUGUGAUUAGGGAAGAACAAAUGUGUAAGUAACGAUGCACGUCUUGACGGUACCGAAUCAGAAAGCCACGGCUAACUACGUG
rnacentral:rRNA from 1 species